UGAGGUCGUAGAAGGACUUGACGCUCUGAGACAUCCUCAGUGUAUCACAAGGCUGCCUUGCAGAAGGACUCCAAGCAAAUGGUGUGGGUAUCAAGCCCUCUGAUCACAGGUUGAUUUUAAAAAAAAACCUAUGAAACCCAAGAAGGGCUGCAAGUGAUAAGUUGAACUUCAGCACCAUGCGGCAGUCAAUGGCUUAUGGAUGGUUUCUACAACAAUUAAUUGGUUUGCCAUCGGUUGCAAGCAGAAUAGCAACAAUACAAUAACAUCACCAAGGAGUUCAGAGCGACAACAGGAGCGAAAUCUGAAUGGCAGAGCUGACUUGAAUCAAUAUGAAUUAUCAGUCAGCUGACCCAGGACAAUGUUUGUAAGAUUAAACUUGUGAUGUAAUGAUUGCAAGCUUUAGAAUUUAAUUUUCCGUGGACUAUGGGGAAAUAAAACUGCU